AUAUUCAGGUGUUUAGCGUAUACACACAGCAGACACAUCAAACUGCACUACCUUCAAAAAGAGUUUAUGGAAUAUAAACUUUAAAUAAGUACUAUUCAUCAUUUGUUUUUAGUAUAAUUAAGCCACUUGUGAUUAAGAAAUAAAGGAAUAUUACGUAAACGAUCAAAUAUAAGUAUGAACUUGACGAAAUAGUCGAUAAAUUUCUAACCUGUAAAUCAACAGAUACAAGAAAUGAUAUAUUAUAAAGUAUUCUAAUUAAUUUUGUAGAAUCUUACGGAUACCGUAGCUUUAUUCCGUAAGUAAUUUUGUUUAAUGUAACUGCUUAUCGAUAUAUGCAAUAGAUAAAAAUGUCCCGCCCCAUAAACAACCUUGCACUUACAUGUUCUGAAGUACGUUUCAAAACUUUUGUCAAAGAAAGAAAUGAGCCUACAGUUGAGACUAAAAAGCAAAAUAAAUUUAAACUUGCCUUUGAUGGGACAGGAGCAAAACUUGCAUAUGACGAAAUAAUCUCACAACAGAGCCAAAGAAAAUCAUUACCCAAAAAAUCAAAGUCAAAAAAUGACAAUAAAGUGACAAACAGUUCUAGUAAAAGUUCAAAAACAAUUGUUAAAAACGUGGAAACAAAUGUGAACAAAUUAUUCAAGGCUAUUGAAUCAGCUGACAUUGACUUUAUCAAAUUAAAUUUUAAUUCUAAAAAUGUAAAUGUGACGGAUCAAUUUGGGUGGACUCCACUAAUGUCUGCAGCUUAUUCUGGGCAUUUUGACAUUGUUAACUUUCUCCUUAUGCUUGGUGCUGACCUAAAAGCAAAAGACAAAUCCGGAUUGACAGCUAUGGAUUUAGCAGCAAAGAAGAAUCACCUGCAGAUUAUAAGUUCUUUAAAAGAACAUAGUCUUAAUGACAAAAUUAAUAUUGAAAGAGAUAAGAACUCCGCCAAUAAUAGUGUUUAUGACACAGGAAGUAAAAAUGAAGAAGGAUUUUACUGUGAAACUUGCAAGAUAUUUUUCAAAGAAUCUUCGAGGAAUAAACAUGAAACAUCUACAUUACACGUUUUUAAUACCAAACCAAAAAUAUCUAAUACUUUCUAUGGAAUACCAAAACAAAACAAAGGAUACCAAAUGCUUUUGAAUACAGGCUGGGAUGAAGAAGGUGGCUUGGGUCCAGAUGGCGAAGGUCAAAAGUAUCCGGUAAAGACCAUUUUAAAGAGGGAUCGCAGAGGAUUAGGCCAGGCAGAAAAGGAAUCUGCUAGAAUAACACAUUUUAAGCCCGAUGAUGUAGAUGCCAUUAGAUUUGUAAAUAGAAAUAAAAGGAAGGCUCUUAAAAGGAGAGAUUGGAAAAAACAACUAAGCAGAGAUGCUGCAAAAACUAGAGCUUUGAGACAAGCACUGUCUUAAUAAGAACUUUUAAUGACAACAAUGGAUGAACACAAAGAAAUGCUUAAUUAUCUUUCGAAAAUUGAAGAGAAAGGUGUAGAGAUUCUGACAGAUAGACAAGAAGUUGUUGCUCUUGAUAAAAGAAGAAAUGACGACAGAGUAGGAAUGAGAGCAUUACAAAAACAAAAAGGAGACAAGACAUGGAUAACCGUAGGCCCACUACUUUUGAAAAUGAAUUCAAAAGCAGCCGAGGACUUACUAAAAGAAGAUCAAAAACAAUGUGAUAUUGAGAUUAAUAAAAUAAGAAGUGACUUAAAAGUAAAAGUGAAUGAAUUACGAGAUAUGGAGCAUAAUCCGCCAGUUCCAGGGCUCAUGCUGAAACCUAUGUCCCAACAAGAAAUGGCAGCGAUGAAUCAAGUACUAGGAAAAAGCCUGUAAUUAUAUAUUUAUAUGUACAUAUUCAUUUUAAAGUUAAGUAAACUUUCAUACAAAGAUAAAA